AGGGAGGUUCUUCAAAAAGGCAGGAAGAAGAUAGUUUUCUCAACAUGAAACAAGCAAUGUUCUGAGGGCUCUAAGGACAGCUUCACCAUUCUUUCACCAACUAACCAAUCCAUAUUUGUUCCAAGUCUGGCUUACCACAAUCCCAGGCUUUAUGCACACUGAAAAUCUGAGACUGGAAUUGUUUAGAAUUCUAUAUUUCUGAAAGAAGCUCUUGAUUCCCAA